UAGAGACUUAGGAUAAACUAAACCAAGGGCCUUCAAAGCCCUAAAUAAGAGCUACCCUCUUAGUCUCUGCCUAAAACCUAUAGAACUACUCUACAUCUCCUGAUUGCAAAUCAGACACUUUAAUUAAAUUAAGGCUUCCAGGAAUCGGAGGGCCUUGAUCCCACAAAACAUUAGUUAACAGCUAACACGCCAACCACUAGGCAUCAACUCCACCCCAGGCCUAAGGGUCACAUCUUAAACCCACUAUCUGAUUUGCACUCAGACACUACUUUCAGACCAAU
rnacentral:misc_RNA from 1 species